rnacentral:rRNA from 1 species
GACGAACGCUGGCGGCGUGCUUAACACAUGCAAGUCGAACGGAAAGGCCCUGCUUUUGUGGGGUGCUCGAGUGGCGAACGGGUGAGUAACACGUGAGUAACCUGCCCUUGACUUUGGGAUGACUUCAGGAAACUGGGGCUAAUACCGGAUAGGAGCUCCUGCUGCAUGGUGGGGGUUGGAAAGUUUCGGCGGUUGGGGAUGGACUCGCGGCUUAUCAGCUUGUUGGUGGGGUAGUGGCUUACCAAGGCUUUGACGGGUAGCCGGCCUGAGAGGGUGACCGGCCACAUUGGGACUAAGAGACAGCCCAGACUCCUACGGGAGGCAGCAGGGGGGAAUAUUGCACAAUCGGCGGAAGCCUGAUGCAGCAACGCCGCGUGCGGGAUGACGUCCUUCUGGGUGUAAACCGCUUUCGCCUGUGACGAAGCGUGAGUGACGGUAAUGAGUAAAGAAGCACCGGCUAACUACGUG